UUCCAGGAUAUGCUACAGAUUCAUUUGUGGCAGGACUAGAUGCAACCCAGCAUUCAGCCUCAGGGAGUGAAGGAGUGACUGAGGAAAUAACUCAAAGUGCGAGACCCCUGACAACAGAAUCUGCACCCUGCUUAAACAACAGUUUGGUCAAGACUUGUAACAAAGAAAAUGAGUUUCCAAGUCCCUCCAUAUCGUUGGCAAGCUUCUAACCGUCAACACCACUGUCCAUGGACAACCGAAAGAGGCAGUAAAGGAGAUGAAGAGCAACAACUCACGAACAAAUAUUUGAAAGAACAAACAGCAGAGUGUAUACUACGCCAACAAAAAAUAGGACUACAAAUGAAAAAACUUGAACUGGAAGUCUGGCUGCUGGAAGCUAAGAAAAGAAAGAUAGAGAAAGAGAUGAAUGAUAAUUAAACUUGCAGUACUGAAA